UCCCCGGUAGCUCAGUUGGUAGAGCGCAUGGCUGUUAACCAUGAUGUCCGAGGUUCGAGCCCUCGCCGGGGAG
rnacentral:tRNA from 1 species